GCGACUUGCCCUGGACGUUCAGAGGUGGAGUUCUGCAGGGUGGGUGAAGAAUGGCCCCGCCGACACCUGCAAGAAAGAGGCCGCGGAAGCCACGGGAGCUUCAGGAGAAGCACCGAGGAGGCUAGAAUGGCCUGAGGACCAGGUCACUUCUGCCUAAUGUUCUUCCACAACUGAUUCCCAUGGCCCUCUGCAUAUAUUCUGAGCCUGCUGGCCUGUUCAUUUGGCCACACAACCAGCUAGUGCCUCUAGGCUUUCGUCAUGCUUUCUCAGCCCCCAAGAAAAACAUGGAGAAGCUUUGGAGCCUGGAAGAUCUGAUUUUGAAAAGCAACUAUUAUCGGGUGAAGCUGAUUUCUGUAAGCUUUAUCUUCUUUAUUUACUGUGUUUGCUUAGGGAAAGUUAAGGCCAGGAUUGAGUCUGGUCAGUGCCAUGGUUCAGAUAGUAACGCAGUCCUACAGACAGGAGUUACUCUUCCUAUCUGUGCUGGUUAGUUUUAAAUUAGUGUCAUUAUGGAAGAGGGAAACUCAACUGAGAAAAUGCCCCUUCAAGACUGGCCUGUGGGCAAGACUGUAGGACAUUUUCUUAUUUAGUGGCUUAUAUGGGAGGACCCAAGUCAUUGUGGAUGGGGUCACCCUGGGUUCUAUAAAAAAGCAGGCUGAGCGAGCCAUGGAAGCUUGCUCCCUCCAUAGCCUUUCUAUCAGCUCCUGCCUCAAGGUUCCUGCCGUGUUUGAGUUCCUGCAGUUAUUUCUUUGGAUGCAGACUACAUCCAAAGUGAAGAGGAAAUAAACCGUUUCCUCCCCAAGCUGCUUAUGGUCAUGGUGUUUAUCACAGCAACAGAAAUCCCAAUUAAGAAAUUAGUUACCAGGCCUUGGGGUAUCGCUGUGACAGGCCUGACCUUGUAUUUUUGGAGGAUUGUAGAAAUACUUUGGAACUUUGGACUAGAAAAACCUUUUAGUGCUCAAAGUUUAAUGAAUUGCUGUGGGAACUUAGCAGACAAUGCUGGGAGUAGUGCAGAUGAAGAUGGCUUGUGAAGUUGGAGGAAGUUUGUGAGUCCCUCAAGUUCUCUAUUAGGGUUGUUUGUAUGAUACAGUGAAGCUUCGCUUUGCUGGAACAAUGGAUGCUGUCAGCUGGGACUGAAGAGCCAGCUGUGAUUAAGAAGAGACCAGCAUCACUGAGAUAAAAUCUGUGAAGUGUUUCCUCAGGCUCAGCACACAGAAGCUGUGGUCCAGAGGGAGCUGAACCUAGCAGUGUAAGACUCCCAGCUCGUACUGGAUUGAAAGUAUGAAGGGAUCAUGACAAGCAGCUGAGACUUGGCACAGUGAAGGCCAGGCCAGGCCGCUGGUGCUCUCAACCACAGCAGAAGCCCAGGAUUAAGCAGGUCCUGGUGAAUGUGAAAGGGUUAGAGUCCCUGAAGAGAGCCCAAGAAAAGGAAGUUACUGGUGAAGGAGCAGACCAGCUGCAGUGGAGAUGACCACCGGGAAAGCGGCAGCUGUGGAGUGGAACCAGUCUGAGCCUAGGAGACCAGCUGCAUGUGCUGCACACAGCUGCCCACGCAUGUCCACGGAGCCCAGAAGAUCGUGAGUGGAUGCCAGAAGCCUGACACUAAGCUUUACGCUGUCGGACUCUGGGUUCACCUGACGAUUAUGACUGUGCCCUUAUUCUUCCUUCUCGGAAUAAGAAUAUGUGUAACUCAUUUCUUACUUUACAAGUAUCCAUAGUUGAGAGACUUUUAACUUUCAAAGAGACUUUGGAAUUUUAAAGAGACUGGAUAUUUACAUAAACUUUGGCUAUUUUACAGAGAUUAUGAAUAUUUUAGGGAGUCUUUAGAUGUUUUAAAGGGAUAGAACUUUUAAAGUGUAUAAAAAUAUUUAAAUGUU